GAUGAACGCUAGCUACAGGCUUAACACAUGCAAGUCGCGGGGCAGCAUGGGGGUUGCUUGCAACUCCCGAUGGCGACCGGCGCACGGGUGAGUAACGCGUAUCCAACCUGCCCUUCACCACGGGAUAACCCGGCGAAAGUCGGACUAAUACCGUAUGUUGUCCAUUGACGGCAUCCGAUUUGGACGAAAGGCUUUGCGGUGAAGGAUGGGGAUGCGUCCGAUUAGCCAGACGGCGGGGUAACGGCCCACCGUGGCUACGAUCGGUAGGGGUUCUGAGAGGAAGGUCCCCCACACUGGAACUGAGACACGGUCCAGACUCCUACGGGAGGCAGCAGUGAGGAAUAGUGGUCAAUGGGCGUAAGCCUGAACCAGCCAAGUAGCGUGCAGGAUGACGGCCCUAUGGGUUGUAAACUGCUUUUAUGCGGGGAUAAAGUGGCCCACGUGUGGGCUUUUGCAGGUACCGCAUGAAUAAGGACCGGCUAAUUCCGUG
rnacentral:rRNA from 1 species